rnacentral:rRNA from 1 species
AGUGAACGCUGGCGGCGUGCUUAACACAUGCAAGUCGAACGAGAACGGGUUAUAGCUUGCUAUAAUUGUCAGCUAAGUGGCGCACGGGUGAGUAAUGUAUAGGUAAUAUGCCUCUUACUAAGGGAUAACAAAUGGAAACGUUUGCUAAUACCUUAUACUCCUUAUUAACAGAAGUUAAUAAGGGAAAGAUUUAUUGGUAAGAGAUUAGCCUGUAUUGUAUCAGUUAGUUGGUGGGGUAAUGGCUUACCAAGACUAUGACACAUAACUGGUUUGAGGGGAUGAGCAGUCACACUGGAACUGAGACACGGUCCAGACUCCUACGGGAGGCAGCAGUGGGGAAUAUUGCACAAUGGACGGAAGUCUGAUGCAGCAACGCCGCGUGGAGGAUGACACAUUUCGGUGCGUAAACUCCUUUUAUAUGAGAAGAUAAUGACGGUAUUAUAUGAAUAAGCACCGGCUAACUCCGUGCCAGCCGCCGCCGUAA